rnacentral:rRNA from 1 species
UACGGAGGAUCCAAGCGUUAUCCGGAUUUAUUGGGUUUAAAGGGUGCGUAGGCGGCCUAUUAAGUCAGGGGUGAAAGACGGUAGCUUAACUAUCGCAGUGCCUUUGAUACUGAUGGGCUUGAAUACACUAGAGGUAGGCGGAUGUGACAAGUAGCGGUGAAAUGCAUAGAUAUGUCACAGAACACCAAUUGCGAAGGCAGCUUACUAUGGUGCAAUUGACGCUGAGGCACGAAAGCGUGGGGAUCAAACAGG